rnacentral:rRNA from 1 species
UACGAAGGGGGCUAGCGUUGCUCGGAAUCACUGGGCGUAAAGGGUGCGUAGGCGGGUCUUUUAAGUCAGGGGGUGAAAUCCUGGAGCUCAACUCCCAGAACUGCCUUUGAUACUGGGGAUCUCGAGUCCGGGAGAGGUGAGUGGAACUGCGAGUGUAGAGGUGAAAUUCGUAGAUAUUCGCAAGAACACCAGUGGCGAAGGCGGCUCACUGGCCCGGAACUGACGCUGAGGUGCGAAAGCGUGGGGAGCAAACAGG